AAACAUAGGUCCGUGGCAUGAUCCUAGAGAUUUUAAAAGUAGAAGGUACAUGCAAUAAGGCAAAAACAGCGCAGGUUUUCAGCAUGGAGGUUCUGUGUCCUGCCUCAGUUCCCAAGAUUCUGCAGUCCUGAGUCAUGGUCAUGAGGAGAAGAGCUGUAACGCUGUGAUCCAGAAUUUCCGAUUUCUAACCUGAACAGACGUGGCCUGGUCAUCAGCGUGGUUGCAGGGCAGCUCAGAGCCCAGCUUGGAUGCGUUGGGGUCACAGCCUCCAUCAGCUCCACCAGCAGAACCCUUGUCAGCUCCUGAGCCAACAUCCAAAUGCUUUCCUAACGCUUGGCUACCUUCGAGAACAGCAAUGCUGAACCCUGAGAAGCAAUCAGAGGCUACUGUGUUCCAGAUGAGCACAUGGAGGGAUGCAAAAACGUCAGCUGCCCCAUGAGCUGGGAAAUUCAGCUACAACUGAAAUAGCUCAUCAUGGGCAAUAAUGAGCAGAGUAACUACGGUCAAAAACACCACGCAGUGAGUGAGUAAUGCAUGCAGCUCCAGCUCUUCCCUGCCUCUUAUGGAUGACGGGAGAUUGAAACAGCUCAUCUUUGAGGUAAGAAAAUAUUCAGAGGAAGAUUUUUGUUUGAGGCAGAUGACAGCUUUUGUUUUGAUUGAAAUGGAAAGUUUUGCUUCUCCUCUGUUCUUGUGACAUCUCUGCCUCAGUCAUCUGUGUGGUGUUUUAGCAUCUUACAGCACAGCGUUAACCAA